ACCUUCUCAGGGUCGCACCUGGAGAGUUUCCAGUCCUUUACCAGUCCCUACUGUGGGAGGGAGAGUCAGGCAGAGGCAUAUCCAUUCCAUUCCUAGCUUGGCCAGUGGCUAAUGAGUGGAAGGCAAUCUGCUACAAAU